AUUGAACGCUGGCGGCAGGCUUAACACAUGCAAGUCGAGCGGGGACUUCGGUCCUAGCGGCGAACGGGUGAGGAAUGCUUGGGAAUCUGCCCAGUAGCGGGGGAUAACGUUUCGAAAGGAACGCUAAUACCGCAUACGCCCUACGGGGGAACGGGGGGGAUCUUCGGACCUCUCACUAUUGGAUGAGCCCAAGUCGGAUUAGCUAGUUGGUGGGGUAAAGGCCUACCAAGGCGACGAUCCGUAGCUGGUCUGAGAGGAUGAUCAGCCACACUGGAACUGAGACACGGUCCAGACUCCUACGGGAGGCAGCAGUGGGGAAUAUUGGUCAAUGGGCGAAAGCCUGAUCCAGCCAUGCCGCGUGUGUGAAGAAGGCCUUCGGGCUGUAAAGCACUUUAAGCGAGGAGGAAUGGCUCUUGGUUAAUAACCUUGAGCAGUGACGUUACUCGCAGAAUAAGCACCGGCUAACUCUGUGCCAGCCGCCGCAGUAACAC
rnacentral:rRNA from 1 species